ACGGUAAUGAGUUAACGCUCCUGGCUCAGGACGAACGCUGGCGGCGUGCCUAAUACAUGCAAGUAGAACGCUGAAGAGAGGAGCUUGCUCUUCUUGGAUGAGUUGCGAACGGGUGAGUAACGCGUAGGUAACCUGCCUUGUAGCGGGGGAUAACUAUUGGAAACGAUAGCUAAUACCGCAUAACAAUGGAUGACACAUGUCAUUUAUUUGAAAGGGGCAAUUGCUCCACUACAAGAUGGACCUGCGUUGUAUUAGCUAGUAGGUGAGGUAACGGCUCACCUAGGCGACGAUACAUAGCCGACCUGAGAGGGUGAUCGGCCACACUGGGACUGAGACACGGCCCAGACUCCUACGGGAGGCAGCAGUAGGGAAUCUUCGGCAAUGGGGGCAACCCUGACCGAGCAACGCCGCGUGAGUGAAGAAGGUUUUCGGAUCGUAAAGCUCUGUUGUAAGUCAAGAACGAGUGUGAGAGUGGAAAGUUCACACUGUGACGGUAGCUUACCAGAAAGGGACGGCUAACUACGUGCCAGCAGCCGCGGUAAUACGUAGGUCCCGAGCGUUGUCCGGAUUUAUUGGGCGUAAAGCGAGCGCAGGCGGUUUGAUAAGUCUGAAGUUAAAGGCUGUGGCUCAACCAUAGUUCGCUUUGGAAACUGUCAAACUUGAGUGCAGAAGGGGAGAGUGGAAUUCCAUGUGUAGCGGUGAAAUGCGUAGAUAUAUGGAGGAACACCGGUGGCGAAAGCGGCUCUCUGGUCUGUAACUGACGCUGAGGCUCGAAAGCGUGGGGAGCGAACAGGAUUAGAUACCCUGGUAGUCCACGCCGUAAACGAUGAGUGCUAGGUGUUGGAUCCUUUCCGGGAUUCAGUGCCGCAGCUAACGCAUUAAGCACUCCGCCUGGGGAGUACGACCGCAAGGUUGAAACUCAAAGGAAUUGACGGGGGCCCGCACAAGCGGUGGAGCAUGUGGUUUAAUUCUGACAUCCCGAUGCUAUUUCUAGAGAUAGAAAGUUACUUCGGUACAUCGGUGACAGGUGGUGCAUGGUUGUCGUCAGCUCGUGUCGUGAGAUGUUGGGUUAAGUCCCGCAACGAGCGCAACCCCUAUUGUUAGUUGCCAUCAUUCAGUUGGGCACUCUAGCGAGACUGCCGGUAAUAAACCGGAGGAAGGUGGGGAUGACGUCAAAUCAUCAUGCCCCUUAUGACCUGGGCUACACACGUGCUACAAUGGUUGGUACAACGAGUUGCGAGUCGGUGACGGCAAGCUAAUCUCUUAAAGCCAAUCUCAGUUCGGAUUGUAGGCUGCAACUCGCCUACAUGAAGUCGGAAUCGCUAGUAAUCGCGGAUCAGCACGCCGCGGUGAAUACGUUCCCGGGCCUUGUACACACCGCCCGUCACACCACGAGAGUUUGUAACACCCGAACUGGAUCACCUCCUUU
rnacentral:rRNA from 1 species